GCGGAGCUCGAUCUCUCCUCCGUCGUUCGGCCGUCUCUCUUCGCAAGACCGGUGUCAACAAAUUCGUCUCGUCGUCCUUGGCCUCUCUAUGGUCUUCGUUUUCGACGAGGAGGUUUGGCGAGAGAGAAUCGAAGGAGAGAAGGAUUACUAGGUUCGCCGGCGAGUUUACAAUUUCGGUCACGGCAGCGAGCAUGAUCGAUCAUGGUAUCUUCUCCUCGACUUGGCGAACACCUCUGUGGUGGUUGCUGCUUAAGACGAGCUCUGAGGAGGGAGAAUCGAGCAAAGGUAUGUUCUAGGUUUCAGGUCGUUGUUUUGGGAACUUUCUGGCGAGCUUCAAGUUUCAAUCUAGGUAUCAAAGUUGGUCCAUUUAUCGAGUUCUACGCCUCUGUAUAAUUGAAAUUGAGUAUAGUUGUGAUAGUUGUGAUAUAGAGAAUUUGGGUUUUGGGCAGUGUGCACCGCCGUUUGUGACUACUGUGCACGGUGGGUUUACGGCGGUGGCAGUCGUGUUUUGGUGUUUGUUUGGUAAAUUCAAGUAGAAUAAAAUUGCAGGAACAUGAUUUGGUGUUGAUAAUGCUUAAAUGUCAGAAUGGGGAGAGACGAGGAAUUUAGGAUUAAGGCAGUCGUGUAUGGCUGCUGCCCUUGGCAGCGGUGGUGCCGCUUUGAUCUAGUUCUUAUGAGUAUAUGAGCAUGGUCUUGACUGCUAGAAUGACAGAAAAUUGAGAAUAUGAGAGGUUGGAUGAUCAAGAGGUUUUCUGUAUAAGUAUGGGUUACUGUGUUUGAUAUUUGAUACGUUUUGGAUUGUGGCCGGUUUAGUUGAUCUUAACAUACACAUAAGAACCUUAAUGAGUUUUUAUAUAAGUCUAAAAUUUCAGAGAUGGAGGAGUUGGGUUUGAAGGUUAAGUUAGGCUCUGUGAGAUGAUGAAAGUUGAGAUUAAUUGUUAAGUUUUGGGCGGUGGUAUGUUUCUAUGUAUGAUUCUGUUUUGGACAAUGGAUGAUAUUGGUUUAUAGUAAUAAGAAUUGUUGUUGUGGCUGUGAUUUAGUUCAGGUAUGAAGAAACUGGACAUACAGAGAAUUGAAGAGUCGGAGGAGGAUGAUUAUGAGAAAGAACUAUAUUGUUGUAGAUGUUAUGUUUAAGAUAUUCAUACUUGUGCGAUUAAUGGAACUAGGUACCUUGAUUUUAGAACUGUCAAAGUGGAAUGGUGAAUUAGAUGGAAGCUCAAAAUUGAUGUCAAGUGUUGGUAUUGGUAGACAAAGUGGAUUGUGAAGUGGAGGAGAUUUAAUAUGUUAGUUUCUUAAGGAAGAAGAAAUUAAUGUGUCGAACUGGAAGACAAAUAAAAAGGCAGUUAAAAUGGAAUGAGUACGUAUGACGUUUUCUCACCAUCUCAGAUAAUUUUGAAUCAUGUUAAGGAAGAAGAAAUUAAUGUGUCGAAAUAAGAUAGGCUGUCCAUAGAAAUUUCGAUGAUUCGAUCAUGUUGAUUUGAUGCAAUUCGUCAACUCUCUAGGAAUAAGGAUUUGGUACAAGGAUCGAAGGUGUAUUACAAUUCCAAAUAGCAUAAGGAUAAAAAUUUCAAAAUGUGUGUCACUGUGUUACUGAUUAUAAUUAGCGUCGGAGCUAAAGCUCAGAUUCAAGUAGGGUCUCUCGGGGAACCUUUCUAUAAAUUGAUAAUUAGAUUAUUAUUGAAAUCGGUGAAUUAUGUGUCAUUGAGUGAUUAACUCUUAGAUGUUACUGCUUUCUAUAAAAGCAUGUGUAAUCGUUGAGUUAUAUGAUUAUUGUUAUCGCUUUUCAUAAAAGCAUGUGUUCGAUAUUAUUGUACGAGCAUUAAUACUCAUUGAUAUACAUAAUGCAUUGUGAAGAAUAGUGAGAACGGUGGU
rnacentral:lncRNA from 1 species